rnacentral:rRNA from 1 species
UACGUAGGGUGCGAGCGUUAAUCGGAAUUACUGGGCGUAAAGCGUGCGCAGGCGGUUCGUUAAGACAGAUGUGAAAUCCCCGGGCUUAACCUGGGAACUGCAUUUGUGACUGGCGAGCUAGAGUAUGGCAGAGGGGGGGUAGAAUUCCACGUGUAGCAGUGAAAUGCGUAGAGAUGUGGAGGAACACCGAUGGCGAAGGCAGCCCCCUGGGUCAAGAUUGACGCUCAUGCACGAAAGCGUGGGGAGCAAACAGG